rnacentral:lncRNA from 1 species
AUGAGGUUCUCCCAGUGGCUAAUGGGCUGGCUUCCUGCUGGAGCCCUGGAAGCAGUCAGCAGGAACUGCAGUCCUCUGAUACCCUGUGAUGUCUUCUGCCGCUUUCCUGACCUCCUCCCAUUCCCCAGGCAUGAAGGUCCUGCCUUAGUACUCCGGUGGGUGUUGUCGGUCUCCAGCUGCACCCCACACAGCUGGGGUGGCCGAGCACUCACUCGCCUUGUCCCCUGCGGGAGAGGUCACCGCCAUCUGGUUCAGCCCAGCACUGGGCUUCCUAGGGGAAGGGGUGGUGCUGGCCAAGUUCCUCUUACCCUCUCCCCUGCUUCCAAACUUGCAUCUCUUUCUCCUACAGGAUGCUGGAAUCGCUCCUUGAGAAGGCUGGACUUUUACAAAGGCUCUGUCAUCCAUGGAUGUCUGCCCAGAUACUUCUUACAGGAUGCUGCUCUUACAAGCAUAAGUGGAUGUCUUUCGCUAUACACACCUCAGGACAUGAAUGGAUCGAUGGACAGAGUUAAAGACAAUGAGCAAACUGGCCAAUCCAUAUCUGAAUGUCAAACUAUCGACGCCAGAGAAAAAUUCAUGGUAGGACAGGUUAAAAAGAAAAAAAAAAAACACUGAAAGAAGAAGCAGGUGUCAGACAUCCCUUUUCCCACCCCUGUUUAUGAAAUUAGGAGCUUCAUCAGGAGGAGAAAAGAGAAAUUAAGCCUAAGAAAAUGGGAAGGAGCAGAGGUUUUACACGAUUCAUGAGGUAGUCAUUUUUUCAAAUAGUGGGUUGGAAUCCUGAAAUAUUAUGUGUGGACCUGGAAGAAAAUGGACUUGAGACUUGCCUGGAUAUCUGUUUACCAUGGUUGAGUGGCCUGGCUACAAUGCUUGGUCCUUGAGGUA